rnacentral:tRNA from 1 species
GGCGAGAUGGCCGAGUGGUUUUAAGGCGAUCGCUUGCUAAGCGGUUGGGUUCUCCCGCGUGAGUUCGAAUCUCACUCUCGUCG